rnacentral:rRNA from 1 species
AUGCAUGCAAGUCGAACGAAGAACCCACUAUGGGUAACCACUGUGGAAUUCUUAGUGGCGAACGGGUGAGUAACACGUGAGAAACCUGCCCCGGAGACCGGAAUAGCCCAGGGAAACCUGGAUUAAUACCGGAUACCCUCUUGCGAUCGCAUGAUCGAUUGAGGAAAUGGUCCGCCGCUCCGGGAUGGUCUCGCGCCCUAUCAGCUAGUUGGUGAGGUAACGGCUCACCAAGGCAAUGACGGGUAGCUGGUCUGAGAGGACGAUCAGCCACACUGGGACUGAGACACGGCCCAGACUCCUACGGGAGGCAGCAGCAGGGAAUUUUGCACAAUGGGCGAAAGCCUGAUGCAGCGACGCCGCGUGGGGGAUGAAUGCCUUCGGGUUGUAAACCCCUUUCAGGAGGGACGAAGCGAAAGUGACGGUACCUCCAGAAGAAGCCCCGGCCAACUACGUGCCAGCAGCCGCGGUAAUACGUAGGGGGCGAGCGUUGUCCGGAUUUAUUGGGCGUAAAGAGCUCGUAGGCGGCUCAGCAAGUCGGCCGUGAAAACCUGAGGCUCAACCUCAGGACGCCGGUCGAAACUGCUGUGGCUAGGGUUCGGUAGAGGAGAGUGGAAUUCCCG